UGUUUGUAAAAAUGACAUUUAUAAAAUCUGAACUACACAUGCAGACCUGGAGGGCCGGUAUCCAGCACGUUUUAGUUUUAUCUGUUUCAACACACCUGAUUUCAAUCAGCAGCUGAUUAACAGGCGUUGCCAGGAGGCACAGAGUGGCAUGGCCAAGUGUGGGGAAUUUUCAUCUUGGGAGGGGGGGAGUGGGAGGAGACUACCAAUGAUGUGAAAUUGUACCAGCUCCAGCCAGUCACACAUUUAUAAUGCAGUAGCCACAGUUCAACCCACAGGGGGCAGCACUAAGACAUUUUAGACCUAGAUUCUAGAUUGAAUCAAGUUUACACAAACAUGUCAAAAAAUGCACAGAAACAGAAAGAUUACAUUUGUAAAGACCCAGUUAUACAGUUAAUUAGCAAAAAAAGUUAUUUUGGGGUUUAUUUACUCUUUAAAUGAUCAUAAUGGUUCAUAUACAGUUUGACUCAAGUCUUUAGGUUUGAGCCAUGAGGAUCUCUUCCCUCCCAGCAACCAGGUUUGUAAGUCCAUUAAACUAGCCUAGGUCAGGAGUUCUGGACGGAAUCAGAAGAAUGAAACAGUCUGGAUCAGCAGUUCUCCAGACUUUCUGAAGUUUGGACAUUGGCUGUUUUUUCACCAGGUUUCUCUGGUUCAUUCAAGAAGAACAAGGCUUCAAACUCAAGGAACAAAACCAGUAAUGAUGGACCUCUGGGCUGAUUCCUACCACCAGCAUGUCAUUGAAACGUGGUCUGGUCCAGUUCGUCAUUGAAUCUAGAAGAUGGACUACCCGAGAACAACGUCAGAACAUUAUAUCAGACACCAACAAGUCCCAGUCCGUUCUAGUUCAGCUGCUUCCAGGUCAUCUCCUGGACUCAGUCUCAUCUUCCUGGGGGUUCUGCUGUGGUGGACUUCAGGCUCGGUCGGUGCACCCUGAACGCCUCACCAUGGGUUCGGGUAUUUAACAUUCUGCCCCGGACCGCCGGCGCUUGUUGCGCAUGCGCAGCCCAUUCAGUCUGCAUGAAUACGGAGCGGAGAGGACAGCUCUGGGACUGGACGGACCGGACAUGGAUGGACAGAACGGCAGCGGGAUCAUGUGUUCAGGGACGCAGGACAGAAAGCAGAACGCACACUCGGACCGGGUGACCCUGAAGAAGGAGAUCGGUCUGUUGAGCGCGUGCACCAUCAUCAUAGGGAACAUCAUUGGCUCUGGGAUCUUCAUUUCUCCUAAAGGGGUCCUGGAGCACUCGGGCUCUGUGGGCCUGGCCUUGGUGGUGUGGGUUCUGGGAGGCUGCGUUGCUGUACUGGGCUCACUGUGCUAUGCUGAACUGGGUGUCACAAUUCCUAAAUCUGGAGGAGAUUACUCAUAUGUGACAGAGAUAUUUGGUGGUCUGACUGGUCUCCCCUCCAGGUUUCUCCUUUUGUGGAGUGCUGUCCUCAUCAUGUAUCCAACCACACUGGCUGUCAUCGCCCUCACCUUCUCCAGCUACGUCCUGCAGCCUGUCUUUCCAAACUGUGCUCCCCCUUACAUGGCUACUCGGCUUUUGUCUGCCACUUGCCUCUUACUCCUGACAUGGGUGAACUGCUCCAGUGUCCGAAUGGCCACAAGGAUCCAGGAUGUGUUCACAGUGGGGAAGCUUUUGGCUUUGGGACUCAUCAUUGUAGUUGGUCUGGUCCAGAUCUUCAACGGGAACUUUGAGGCUUUGACUCCUCAUGUGGCCUUUUCCCAGAACAGGACACCGUCAGUUGGACAGAUUGCUUUGGCUUUCCUGCAGGCAUCCUUUGCCUUCAGUGGCUGGAACUUCCUUAACUACGUCACAGAGGAGGUGGUUGAACCUAGACGGAACCUUCCUCGAGCCAUCUACAUCUCCAUUCCACUGGUGACCUUUGUGUACACACUCACCAACAUCGCUUACUUCUCCUCCAUGUUGCCCGAGGAGCUGCUGUCGUCCAAUGCUGUGGCUGUAACGUUUGGUGAGAAGCUGCUGGGAGCUUUUUCAAUCAUUAUGCCGAUCUCGGUGGCCCUUUCCACCUUUGGAGGAAUAAACGGUUACCUGUUCACCUCAUCCAGGUUGUGUUUCUCUGGAGCCAGAGAGGGCCACCUGCCCAGCCUGCUGGCCAUGAUUCACUUUAAAAACUGCACUCCCAUCCCAGCCCUGCUGGUCUGUUGUACUGCCACCCUUUUUAUAUUGUGCAUUGGAGAAACACACAACCUGAUCAACUAUGUCUCCUUCAUCAACUAUCUGUCUUAUGGUGUCACCAUUACUGGACUGCUCUACUAUCGCAGGAGAAAACCCAACAUUUACCGGCCAAUCAAGGUGAACCUCCUGGUUCCUGUCUCUUACCUGCUGUUCUGGGCCUUGCUCUUGGGAUUCAGUCUUUACUCGGAGCCGGUAGUUUGUGGUGUUGGUCUAGUGAUCAUGCUCACUGGUGUACCCGUCUACUUUCUAGGUGUUUAUUGGAAAGAAAAACCAAAGUGUAUUUAUGAUUUCAUAGCAUGUGCUACAUCUGUGGGCCAGAAGCUGUGUUAUGUUGUCUUCCCCCAGAUUGACCCAACUGAGAUUGAUCAUCCUUCAGAAUGGACUGACCAGUCAUCAGGCAGGAGCAGUUUCUUUGCCAACUUGUAAAACUCUUUUCUGUAUGUGUGAAAAUAUGUGUUCUGAUCUUUUGUUCCAUUGUUACUUUGUCAUUAUGCAAGUUCAGGCUUUCUGUCCUGCCAGAGAAGCCUCCUGUGUGAUGUUUAAACCAUGGAAAGAGUCAUUUUGCCUUACAGUCAAGUAGAAGUACCUAAUAGAAGUACACUCUAUGAAAAGGAUUUUUAUUCCCCUUUGGGGCGUGUCUGUUCCUCCUUUGUAAAAUUACUGAACUGUGACUGACAGUAAUUACUCCUUUUACCGCAGCAUUUUUGUGUCCUUAAUAACAAAUAGUUUACAUAUGGAGCUAAUGUGUUUUGGAAAAUUAACAAAUGUUUGAGGCAGCCUUUCUACUGGGUUUUUCAUCAUCUGCCCCACUGUUGGAUCUUUUUAGCAACUCUUUAUGUCGACCUGGUAAAUGUCAAAUGGGGUUCCUCAUGUAGAGAAUAAUCUUGGAUCAAACCACCAACCAUCCAGUCAGCAGACAAUAUACCUACCCACUGAUCCACAGUCACCUCUUUAGUCUGUUUCUAUGUUAUUGAUAGCUUGACAGCGGGUCUAGCCCUGCAGCAUAUAUAACUGUACUGAUCCUGGUUUAACCGACUUUAGUACGCAACGUGACUUUAACUGCCCAGAGAUAGUGUAGAAGCCUUUUCCUACAAAGUGCUUGUUUAAAAACUUUCUUUCCCAUCUCCUGAGACAUCCCACUUGUGUUUGUGACCAAGUCCUCGCAUAAACAGCUCUGCUUCUUGCCUUUCCCAUAAAGUAGUAGAGCUCCCGUGAAAGCUCACACACAUAAACUCAUUAUGAAAAGCACAAAAAUCCAGAAAGAAACACAAAAAAAGUCAAAUUAAAUGAGUUUCAUUUUUUUCCAGAAAUACCAACAGUCUCAGGGAGAGUUUCAACUGAGUUGAAGAGGCUAUGAAACAGAUGUUUUUGUAUCAGAUGUUCUACAUGUUGUCAUAUUUUGAUUUUGGCUUUUUCAGGACUGACAAUAUGUGUUGAGUAAAUUUAAGUGCUAGCCUAUUUCCUUACUGGAGCAGACUUCUGCAUGUCUUUUCCACAAGUUUUAGUAAAAAUGCCAGCUGUUGGGUCACUGCACAAUUUUCAGCUACAUGCAGCAGAAAUAGCUGCAGUGUUAUUGUCAUUAAUGAAUAUAUAAAUGAGUCAUUCACCAGUGCAUCACAUCUGGCAUACAUGUCAUUAAAACAGAGACGUGUUUUUUACUGACAGUUUAUAAAUGUGUCAUCCAGAACUAGUAAAUAAUCCUGUAGUUAAAGAUAGAUUAGGUGUCAGUCAAAACAUGAUGAUGAUAACCGGUACAGUAUGUUAAGGUAGUCAUGAUUGCUCAUGUAAAAAAGAUGAGAAAUAACUAACUUAUUAAAGAAAGAAUACUUUAUACUGUUUGGAAGGCAUGACAGAAAUUAUACAAAAGGAUGAAUAUAAAAGUUGCUAUUAAAAAUGUUAAAAAUAUGUGUCUUAUUAACAAAUUUGCAAGAUCUCCAUUUAGUUUGCAUUCAUUUGAAAAGCACCUUAGCUGUCCUUUCCUUGCUGCCUUCAUUCAUUGCUGUAAAUAAAACAAAUAGUAUAAAAAUGCUGUACUGACAUGAUUGAUGUAAAAUAUUUAUACCUACCUGCUCAGAUGGGUUUGAUAGUUGCAUCCUAGAUAUAGUUAUUAUUAUUGUUAUUAAGGGACCUGCUGCUGCAGCAAGCAGGGCCCUUGUUGUUAUGCACCUGGAGGGGGUUUGACAUUAAUCGCCUUUAUUCUUCUUCAUCAAUGCAGCUCGAACGGCUUCGUGCACCCCCACAAAUUAUAUAUCAAAUCAAGUAGCUCAACCGUGGGAGGUGUGCUAUUACUUUUCUAAGCGAUCUGAUUUACCACGACAAAAUAAUUAGCAAAAAACUUCUAAACUGUAAUCCUUUUAGGGCAGAUUGAACUAUCCUUUCAAAUUUUGAGUGUGUGGCAUUUUUUACAUUUGCAUAAAAACUGUCUUGUGCCAGGUGACAGGUCCCUUUUUUAAAUUAAUUCAGGUAUUUUCUAGUUAUUAUUAGUUCUAGUAGUAUUGUUGUAGUAAUAAUAGUAGUAGUUGUAGUUGUUGUAGUUGUUCAAUCAAUCAAUCUUUCCAUCAGUCAACUUUAUUUGUAAAGUGCCUUUGCAUUGCUCAAGGACCAAACCAACAACAAAAAGUGACACAACAUGACAUAAAAAAGUAAAAGCAUUUAAAAGAUCAGACAAAAACUUGUAGUUGAAAUCUGGGUGGGAACACACAAGAAUUCAACAACCCCCCAUUAGUGAGACUCCUCGUCAGUAAAAUCCAUUGAAUAGAAGUGUGUUUUCAGACAGCUCUUAAAGUUGGGGGCCUGCUUGAUGACUACAGGCAGCUCAUUCCAGAGUUCGGUCAGUAUUGAGAGGGCAUGACCCCCUCGUGGGUCUGUACUUGGGUAUGGCACAGUCCCUGCUCCUCCGACCAAAAGGGCCUUGAUGGAAUGUAAAGAUGAAUCAGAUCUGAUAUAUAACGUAGAGCCGACUCAUUUAAACAUUUAAAAACAAACACCAGAACUUUAAAUGAAAUUCUAAAAGAGACCGGAAGCCAGUGUAGGGAUGCUAAGAUAGAUGUGAUGUGCUCAGACCUCCUGGUACCGGUCAAUAACCUGGCCGCCUCAUUCUGCAACAUCUGAAGUUUCGCUAUGGAGGCUUGCUUGAUGCCCGAGUAAAGAGAGUUGCAGUAGUCCAGCCUGGUGGUAAUGAAGGCGUGGAUGACAGUUUUUAAACGUUUGUAUGAAAGAAAUGGCUUAAUUCUAGCUAUUCCCCUGAGAUGGAAGCAAGUAGCAGGAUGUGAUUGUUCUGGCUUUCCAGUCUGAUCUCCACAUCCAACUUCACCUCAAGAUUGGUAAACACCACAUUCUCAAAAGGUUACUAAAAAUAUAAUGUCAAUAAUAACAUUAAGAGAGCAAUGGGCGAGCUAUGUCGUAAUGACACAAAUAUGACAUGGCCGGAAUUGACGUAGCAGGGGUCCACCAUUUUGGAUGGGUCUCCACUCGCCCUCAGUGCAUUUAUUUCUAUUGAGGAAGGUAUUUACCCAACUUGAAAAAAACAUUUUACUAUGCUUGUUCACAAAAUCAGACAUAUGAUAUGGCUUGAUAAUUAAAAUAUAAAUUUAAUAAAAGAAAUAAAUAAAAUUAAUUUUAAAAUUCCAACAGGUAGGCUAGAAAAGCCUCAGAAAAUGUCCUACAUGAUCUGUUUUCAACAGUGCACCAGUUGUUGCGUAGCCUGCACAAAAAAACGGUCAUAAUUGCCCACCCUGCGUGGACUCCAUUUGCUACAGGCAUCUACCCAAUAUGGUGGCGAAGCUUUUACAUCUCCAGUGCACUGCUCACUGACGUCUGCGGGUUUGCACGUGCACCAACAUCCCCGGUGUGCCAAAUCACAGAAGCAGAGAGACAAUGUAUAUAGAGCUAGGAUUGGGACAUUAUUCAGCGUAACUUGUACCAAGUUUUGUAACUUCGAACGUUUCAUCACAUGUAACUUUGGAUUCGUAACUUGUAACUUUAGUUUUCUAACUUGUAAUUCCAGUGUUAGGAAUCUUUUUUUCUCAAUUCUAGCGUCAGUGGGAGGAACUUGGGUGGAACCAAUGAGAGCAUGAGUCUUAGCUACCAAUCACGUUUCUCGAAUUCCUGUCCAAUCAUUGGGAGAGGAGGGCAGGGUUCUGUCAGAGCUGUAAAGAGUUACGACCAUCGACAUAUAUACGACACUCCAAUAGACUCCUAUGGAAAGAAUGGAAUGUGGGAGUCACGUGGUUCAUGUAGCUUCGAAUAGUUCCAAACAGCCCCGCUGCUGCAUUGACCGUAGUUCAUUUUCGGUGUUUCUGAAGAAUUUCUACAGUAAGUUGAUGAAAUGUCAUCAUUUUGUUGCAUUGUGAAGCGUUAGCUAACCGCUUCGUACCAAAAUAAGCCGAUGAUGAUAUUUUAUGUUGCCAGUUUUAGCUAGAUAACCUUUAAUGAGCUAACUGUGUGCAGUUUGUUGGUUGUGAGCAGGAGGACGAGCUGUAGACGGGUUCAUUUCAGUUUGUUUGAUUCUACGUUUUAAAAACAUUCCCCACAGUUUGAAAUAGGUUAUAAACUUUUUACAUUAUUAGUUUAAUUUGGGAUUUUUUGUACAAUACGUUGCUGGUUGCUGUAUCAACACGAACAUGCAUCAGAAAUGGAAGCACAAAUGGAGAGACCAAUAAUAAAGAAAAUGUGAUUGUGAAGACAAGUAAUUAUUUAAUAUUUUUCAGUUAAUAACACCGACUGCAACAAACUGCUGAAGCAUGAGACAAACAGGAUUACGAACGUAAGAAGAUAUGUUGUUCUGUUUUGUGGACUCAAGUAAUAAGAAUAAAAUUACGAUAUUUCAAGAAUAGUAGUCGAACAAUAACUUUAAAAAAUGAGACAUUUUCCAUAAAACUGCUCAUUUCCACUUGCUUUAUAAUAUUAGCAUUUGCAAUUUUGUUAUUAAGGAAUGACAAGAAAUAAGAAUUAACAAUAACAUAAUCAUCAAUAAAAAGAGUAACCAUUAAAGGUUAAACUGUGUUGUGUGUCCAUCUUCAUGUUUUCAUAGUGGCUGAGCGGAGAGCUGACCAGGAACAACGGUGGUGGCAAAACCCAGUUGGGUCUGUGAUGGAGUGAUGCACGCCUGGAGUGAUUGCCAUCUCAUCCACAGGUUCUAACAUCAGGCAGAGGGAUACUCAUGUCCUGAAGAAACCUGUAGCCUGUUGAACCCACUGAAAAACAGAGCUGUUUUCCAGCUGGGUUCCCUGGUUGCAUAGCCUGUUCCUUUCUCCUCCUGGCCCUGACGCCGCCUCCUCAUGGCUUCCUGGGAUGCCCCCCUCACUUUCCCUCAUCUCAUUUGCCUCACUACUGCUGCUGCUUUCCUCAUUCUCUGAAAUUAUAAUGGCACUGUUAGAAUAAAGAAUCAGUUAAAAAUAAAAUAAUUUCAAAUGUCUAAUAUUUCAAAAGAUUUGUACCACAGUUUACUUGAGUACAAUAUGUGUGGUCACUGGUCAGUGGACCAACAUGCAGUGGUUCUGCUGUACUUCUCACUACGGGGUCCUUCCUCCUCCUUGGUUCAGGGCAAUGAACAAACACAGCAUCAGCCCUGAGUCUCACCUUGCCUAGUCUUAGUAAACUGUCCCUCCUCAAAAUGUGCCUGUAGAGUGGUGUAUUACUGUAGUUUAUUUCCUGCCACAUUUAACAGUUUAAUUGCAGCCUUGUGUAGUUGAGAGCAGAACAUGUAGAGCCUUGAUAGGAAACGUUUGAGAGUGCACAUUAAACUCACUGCACACAGCUUUUUGUUAUUGUGAUCGCUGGUCAUGGUGAGGUUGCUCCUGCUGACUUGAGCCAACCAUUUUCUUCUUCUCUCUGCAUCUUUGGGGAAGCCGUAGUUCUGAUUCCUCCCUCAGACUGAUUGCAAUAUGCAGCGCAGCCAACCAUGUAAGAUAUUCAACCUAUAAAGGGAUUAUUAAAAUACUAUUUUUGUACAUAUAGAAACAUUGAACUAAACCAAAAAUAAAGUUAUUCAAAAGGGUUUCAUUAGGUCUUGAGUACAUUGCUCAAAUUUAUUGAUACAGCUUAUUUGUGCAUAUGUAAUGACUAAACAAUGUUGGUAAAAUGCUUUAUUAAAAAUGCUAUUAUACAUGUUGUACAAGUUUGGUGUUCAUUUUUUCACAAAUAACACACUUUAUUGUGAUGAACCAUACAGCUGAAAAUUUCUUUUAAAUUAGUUGCUGUAGAAGCCAGAUAAACUGGGUUAUAGAUGCAUGUACUGUCUUCACAUAAAAAUAUAAAGUAAUGAUUGUAAAAUGUAUUCUACUGAACAUAAUAGAUCAUCAUUCAAAGUAUAAACAGAUACAUAUUUUCUUCAAGGUAAGCUGGAGCAGAGUUCUAGCUUUCAAUAAACACUUUAAAAUGGAUAUUACAACUCGAGUUUAUGGUUCUUGUAGAACUUAAAGUUAUUAAAUAUGCUUAUAGGGCAGUGUGUUGCAUUACUACAUCAAAUUUAUUGCUAUAAUAUAGUAAUGUAUGUGGUCUAAAUGUGUUCUACAGUGUAUUAGGACUGUUGUGUUCAAGAACAGUCACGGGUGUUUGUCUUCCUACAAGUGCUCGUAAAAAUAUAAAUAGGCUACUUUGUGAAGGAGUUAGGACAUAAUAUAAUAUAAUAUAUAAUAUUAUUCAAUAAUUACCACAAAUUGCCAGGGGAAAUGUGAUUAUAUUAAAUUUUUGUGAUUUGUCCCACCAUACGCCGUUCAAACUGACUUACGGCACUGUGGGAUGUUUGGAACUGAGAGCUCCAUGAACCACGUGACCGCGAGUCGGCGAGUUCAAAGACUGUUGUAACUCUCUCUUUCUACAGCUCUGACAGUAUGGAACUAGGAUUGGGACAAUAUUCAUCGUAACUUGUACCAAGUUUUGUAACUUCGAACAUGUUUCAUCACAUGUAACUUUGGAUUCGUAACUUGUAACUUUAGUUUUCUAACUUGUAAUUCUCAAUUCGUACUUGUAUUUCUUGUUUUGUAACAGGAACGUUGUAUUUUGUACAUGUAUUUUUUAUUUUGUAAAAUCAAACUUUUAUUUUGUACAUUACUACUCAUUUUGUAACAUCAAGCAUUCAUUCAGAAACAUGAAACUUUCGUUUUGUAACUAGCAGACUUCCAAAUUUAAAAAAUCAAGGUACAAAUUUGAAAUCAAAACUCUCAAAACACACAUUUCAUUCUACAGGUACAAACCUCAAAUCUACAGUGUUACGAAUCUUUUUGUCUCGAUUCUAGCGUCAGUGGGAGGAACUUGGGUGGAACCAAUGGGAGCACGAGUCUUAGCUACCAAUCACGUUUCUCGAAUUCCUGUCCAAUCAUUGGGAGAGGAGGGCAGGGUUCUGUCAGAGCUGUAGAGAGUUACGACACUCCAAUAGACUCCUAUGGAAUGGGGAAGUCACAUGGUUCACGUAGUUUCGAAUAGUUUCAAACAGGCCCCGCUGCUGCAUUGGCUGCAGUUCAUUUUCGGUGUUUUGGAAGGAUUUUCUCUGGUAAGUUGAUGAAAUAUCAUCAUUUUGUUGCAUUGUGAAGCGUUAGCUAACCGCUUCGUACCAAAAUAAGCCAACUACAAUAUUUUAUGUACCCAGUUUUAGCUAGAUAACCUUUAAUGAGCUAACUGUGUGCAGCUGUGUUUAUGUAAUGGAUGCUGAGUCGCGUCCUUCAGUCUUUGAAACGAGGACAAAAACAAACCCGCAAAAUAGCUAAAAUUUGCUUAUCGAUACAGUAUCAGCUACGCAGUAAAUGAACACGAUGGAAGCCCAUUAGCUGCGGGUUAUAGCUCAGUAAGAACAGGUAUUUUGUUACAGUUGUCUGAAAGUUUAUUUGCUUCAGGCGUGUCGGGGGUUGUGAGCAGGAGGGUUUAGACAAGCUUGACGAGCUGCAGACGGGUUUAUUUCAGUUUGUUUGAUUCUACGUUUUAAAAAUAUUCCCCACAGUUUGAAAUAGGUUAUAAACUUUUUACAUUAUUAGUUUUAUUUGGGAAUAUUUGUACAAUACGUUGCUGGUUGCUGUAUCAACACGAACAUGCACCAGAAAUGGAAGCACAAAUGGAGAUACCAAUAAUAAAGAAAAUGUGAUUGUGAAGACAAGUAAUUAUUUAAUAUUUUUCAGUUAAUAACACCGACUGCAACAAACUGCUGAAGCAUGAGACAAACAGGAUUACGAACUGGCUGAGCGGAGAGCUGACCAGGAACAACGGUGGUGGCAAAACCCAGUUGGGUCUGUGAUGGAGUGAUGCACGCCUGGAGUGAUUGCCAUCUCAUCCACAGGUUCUAACAUCAGGCAGAGGGAUACUCGUGUCCUGAAGAAACCUGUAGCCUGUUGAACCCACUGAAAAACAGAGCUGUACGGCCUUUUUGAUUGUCUGUUUACUCCAUUUAAUGCCUCUUGUGUUUUUCAUGCCUUUUUGACUUUCUGUUUCCUCCCUUAGGUUUUCCAGCUGGGUUCCCUGGUUGCAUAGCCUGUUCCUUUCUCCUCCUGGCCCUGACGCCGGCUCCUCAUGGCUUCCUGGGAUGCCCCCCUCACUUUCCCUCAUCUCAUUUGCCUCACUACUGCUGCUGCUUUCCUCAUUCUCUGAAAUUAUAAUGGCACUGUUAGAAUAAAGAAUCAGUUAAAAAUAAAAUAAUUUCAAAUGUCUAAUAUUUCAAAAGAUUUGUACCACAGUUUACUUGAGUACAAUAUGUGUGGUCACUGGUCAGUGGACCAACAUGCAGUGGUUCUGCUGUACUUCUCACUACGGGGUCCUUCCUCCUCCUUGGUUCAGGGCAAUGAACAAACACAGCAUCAGCCCUGAGUCUCACCUUGCCUAGUCUUAGUAAACUGUCCCUCCUCAAAAUGUGCCUGUAGAGUGGUGUAUUACUGUAGUUUAUUUCCUGCCACAUUAACAGUUUAAUUGCAGCCUUGUGCAGUUGAGAGCAGAACAUGUAGAGCCUUGAUAGGAAACGUUUGAGAGUGCACAUUAAACUCACUGCACACAGCUUUUUGUUAUUGUGAUCUCUGGUCAUGGUGAGGUUGCUCCUGCUGACUUGAGCCAACCAUUUUCUUCCUCUCUCUGCAUCUUUGGGUAAGCCAUAAUUCUGAUUCCUCCCUCAGACCAUUUGCUAUAUGCAGCGCAGCCAACCAUGUAAGAUAAUCAACCUAUAAAGGGAUUAUUAAAAUACUAUUUUUGUACAUAUAGAAAUAUUGAACUAAACCAAAUUAUAGAGAUGUAAAAUUACAUUUCAAAAUUUUAUCCAACCCUAAAAUUAGUAAUUUCAAAUUUUAACCCACGGACACAUUUUGUUUGAAUAAUAAUCAAAAUAAAGUUAUUCAAAAGGGUUUCAUUAGGUCUUGAGUACAUUGCUCAAAUUUAUUGAUUCAGCUUAUUUGUGCAUAUGUAAUGACUAAACAAUGUUGGUAAAAUGCUUUAUUAAAAAUGCUAUUAUACAUGUUGUACAAGUUUGGUGUUCAUUUUUUCACAAAUAACACACUUUAUUGUGAUGAACCAUACAGCUGAAAAUUUAUUUUAAAUUAGUUGCUAUAGAAGCCCGAUAAACUGGGUUAUAGAUGCAUGUACUGUCUUCACAUAAAAGUAUAAAGUAGUGAUUGUAAAAUGUAUUCUACUGAACAUAAUAGAUCAUCAUUCAAAGCAUAAACAGCUACAUAUUUUCUUCAAGGUAAGCUGGAGCAGAAUUCUAGCUUUCAAUAAACACUUUAAAAUGGAUAUUACAACUCAAGUUUAGGGCUUCUUGUAGGACUUAAAGUUAUUAAAUAUGCUUAUAUUAGAGCAGUGUGUUGCAUUACUACAUCAAAUUCAUUGCUAUAAUAUAUUAUAGUAAUGUAUGUGGUCUAAAUGUGUUCUACAGUGUGUUAGGACUGUCGUGGUCCUGUAAUGUAGAACAGUCACGGGUGUUUGUCCUCCUACAAUUGCUCGGAAAAAAAUAAAUAGGCUACUUUGUGGAGGAAUUAGGACAUAAUAUAUAAUAUAAUAUAUAAUAUUAUUCAAUAAUUACCACAAAUCGCCAAGGGAAAUGUGAUUAUAUUAAUUUUUUGUGAUUAGUCCCACCAUACGCCGUUCAAACUGACUUACGGCGCUGUGGAAUGUUUGGGAUUUCCGUGAACCACGUGAACGCG